rnacentral:tRNA from 1 species
GAGGGUAUGGCUCAAUGGUAGAGUAUGUGCCUAGCAUGCACAAGGUCCGGGGUUCAAUCCCUAGUACUUCCG